rnacentral:rRNA from 1 species
CCUACGGGGAGCAGCAGUGAGGAAUGUUGGUCAAUGGCCGGAAGGCUGAACCAGCCAUGCCGCGUGAAGGUCAGUGCCCUAUGGGCGUUAAACUUCUUUUGUGCGGGAGCAAUAAUGGUCACGUGUGGCCAGACGAGAGUACCGUACGAAUAAGCAUCGGCUAACUCCGUGCCAGCAGCCGCGGUAAUACGGGGGUUGCAAGCGUUAUCCGGAUUUAUUGGGUUUAAAGGGUGCGUAGGCUGUGAGGUAAGUCAGCGGUGAAAUGCCCCCGCUCAACGGGGUGAAGUGCCAUUGAUACUGCCUGGCUGGAAUGCGGAUGCCGUGGGAGGAAUGUGUGGUGUAGCGGUGAAAUGCAUAGAUAUCACACAGAACACCGAUUGCGAAGGCAUCUCACGAAUCCGCGAUUGACGCUGAUGCACGAAAGCGUGGGUAUCAAACAGGAUUAGAUACCCUUGUAGUC